GAUUAACGCUGGCGGCGUGCAUAACACAUGCAAGUCGAACGAUAAAACUUAGUAGACUUCUUCUGAAAGACACUCAGCGGAUUAGUUGCGAACGGGUGAGUAACGCGUGAGUAACCUGCCUUACACAAGGGGAUAGCCUUAGGAAACGAAGAAUAAUACCCUAUCAAACCAUAAAAGCACAUGCUAGAAUGGUCAAAGUGAUAGCGGUGUAAGAUGGACUUGCGUCUGAUUAGCUAGUUGGUGAGAUAAAAGCUCACCAAGGCAACGAUCAGUAGCGGGCUUGAGAGAGGGUACAGCGACAUUGGGACUGGGACACGGCCCAGACUCGUACGAGAGGCAGCAGUGGGGAAUUUUGCACAAGGAGGGAAACCCUGAUGCAGCGAGGCCGCGUGAUUGAGAAGGCCGUCGGGUUGUAAAAAUCUUUUGUAUAGGAAGAAAAUGACAGUACUAUACGAAUAAGGUCCGGCUAAUUACGUG
rnacentral:rRNA from 1 species